CCCUUAGAUGUUCUGGGCUGCACGCGCGCUACACUGAUGCGCUCAACGAGUUUAUGACCUUGCCCGGAAGGGUUGGGUAAUCUUCUUAAAACGCAUCGUGAUGGGGAUAGAUUAUUGCAAUUAUUAAUCUUCAACGAGGAAUUCCUAGUAAGCGCGAGUCAUCAGCUCGUGCUGAUUACGUCCCUGCCCUUUGUACACACCGCCCGUCGCUCCUACCGAUUGAGUGGUCCGGUGAGGCUUUGGGAUCUGAGCAAAGAGAGCGUUUCGCUCGUUUUGCCCGGAAAACUCAGUCGAACCUUAUCAUUUAGAGGAAGGAGAAGUCGUAACA
rnacentral:rRNA from 1 species